CCAAAGACCUUCAGGCCUUUCCUGAGUAGGAAAAGAAAAACUACAGAAGAAAGGAAUGAAAAGGAACAUAAGGCCAUCAGGAGAGAAUUGAAUAAGUAGUCAACUCUAAGGUCAAAAUUAAUGAACUACUCUGCUACCCCCUGAAGAAGGGUAGAAUAAAGUAAAGGAAAACCAAAAUGAGACUUAUCUUCCUGCCAUAAACAACUGGGAAACUGGACAAAAUAUUUGAAACAACUGUUUGCAGAUAUUGGACAACCAUCAUUCCAGGACUAUUAUCUUGAUAUUCAGAGAAGAUGCUGGUUCUAAAACGUAAUGCAGUGAGAACUGAAUUCCCUGGAAAGUGGUCAGCACCUUCUAGAAUAAGGGCUUAUGAAGAGUCAUGAAUAGACAUCCACAUCACCUUGGACUGUGAAGUUGGCAAGUUUCACUCUUCCUUCCUUUGUAUGUGUCUCCAUCCACCUUUCCAGUUACUACGUCUUACAAGAGGUAUAGCAUGUAUUCCAUUCUUACAGAAUGUGUGGGAAGGAUUCCUUCAUUACAUGAUCCA